rnacentral:rRNA from 1 species
UACGGAGGGUGCAAACGUUGCUCGGAAUCAUUGGGCGUAAAGCGCACGUAGGUGGCUUGUUAAGUCGGGUGUGAAAUCCCUGGGCUCAACCCAGGAAGUGCACUCGAAACUGGCGAGCUUAAGUACUGAAGAGGGUCGCGGAAUUCCCGGUGUAGAGGUGAAAUUCGUAGAUAUCGGGAGGAACACCAGUGGCGAAGGCGGCGACCUGGGCAGAUACUGACACUGAGGUGCGAAAGCGUGGGGAGCAAACAGG